UGGGGAAUCUUGCACAAUGGGGGCAACCCUGAUGCAGCGACGCCGCGUGAGCGAUGAGGCCCUUCGGGGCGUAAAGCUCUUUCGACCGGAACGAUAAUGACGGUACCGGGAGAAGAAGCUGCGGCUAACUACGUGCCAGCAGCCGCGGUAAUACGUAGGCAGCAAGCGUUGUUCGGAGUUACUGGGCGUAAAGAGUGCGUAGGCGGUUUUCUAAGUUCGGUGUGAAAUCUCCCGGCUCAACUGGGAGGGUGCGCCGAAUACUGAGGGACUCGAGUGCGGGAGAGGAAAGUGGAAUUCCUGGUGUAGCGGUGAAAUGCGUAGAUAUCAGGAGGAACACCUGUGGUGUAAACGGCUUUCUGGACCGUAACUGACGCUGAGACACGAAAGCGUGGGUAGCAAACA
rnacentral:rRNA from 1 species